UACGUAGGGGGCAAGCGUUGUCCGGAUUUAUUGGGCGUAAAGAGCGUGUAGGCGGCCAGACAGGUCCGUUGUGAAAACUGGAGGCUCAACCUCCAGACGUCGAUGGAAACCGUCUGGCUAGAGUCCGGAAGAGGAGAGUGGAAUUCCUGGAUGUAGCGGUGAAAUGCGCAGAUAUCAGGAAGAACACCCGUGGCGAAAGCGGCUCUCUGGGACGGUACUGACGCUGAGACGCGAAAGCGUGGGGAGCGAACAGG
rnacentral:rRNA from 1 species